rnacentral:rRNA from 1 species
UACAGAGGUCUCAAGCGUUGUUCGGAUUCAUUGGGCGUAAAGGGUGCGUAGGCGGCGCGGUAAGUCGGGUGUGAAAUCUCCGGGCUUAACUCGGAACGGUCAAGUGAUACUGUCGGACUAGAGUACAGAAGGGGCAACUGGAAUUCUCGGUGUAGCGGUGAAAUGCGUAGAUAUCGAGAGGAACACCUGCGGCGAAGGCGGGUUGCUGGGCUGAUACUGACGCUGAGGCGCGAAGCCAGGGGAGCGAACGGG